GGUUGGGGAUUACCUGCAAGACCACCUGAUCUUAGGAGCCCCAGGACCAGGAGAGCACAUCUGAGUUUACACUUCGCAUGAUGUUUGAAUGCUUCUGAACACAGCAGGAGGAAGAGCAAAUGUGCAGAACAGACCUUUCUAUGAAAUCUCACAGGACUGUAAUAACACCAGUUGAAUGCAUAUAGACACAAAAUACGCAUAUGAAAUGAUGUUGCAAUGGGAAGAGAUCACAGAGUAGAAGAGGGAACCUCCCCGUCUUCAUUCCAUUUAAAAGACAGGGAUCAGGAGUGAAAUCUCAGCUCUGUCAAAACCAGUGGAAACAAUCCCAGUCUUCAAGAGAGCCAGGAUUUUAUCUCCAAUCUUUUUAUUUGCCCUUCUAUAAUUCAUCAUAACAACAGUUAACAGAUGUUGCUGCACGACAGCCCUGUGGUUGCUGCUAAAUGCCUGCUUCGUGGUGUGACAAAAUGCCACCUUCCUGCCUGGCACCUACAUGAUGACGAGCGCUCUGUGGAAAUAAUACAAAGCCUUUUGAUGCAGCCUAUAUGCCUGGUUUUCAGAUGUUUGGCUAAAGUAAUGAACUUCGAGACUUCCAGAAAGUUACACCUGUGUUGAAGAGCCUUGGUGAAAAUGUGAUUCCCUGUAC